UACGUAGGGUGCAAGCGUUGUCCGGAAUGAUUGGGCGUAAAGCGUCCGCAGGUGGCAAUGUAAGUCUGCUGUCAAAGCGUCUGGCUCAACCAGAUAAAGGCAGUGGAAACUACAUAGCUAGAGUAAGGUAGGGGUAGAGGGAAUUCCUGGUGUAGCGGUGAAAUGCGUAGAGAUCAGGAAGAACACCGGUGGCGAAAGCGCUCUGCUGGACCUUAACUGACACUGAGGGACGAAAGCUAGGGGAGCGAAUGGG
rnacentral:rRNA from 1 species